ensembl:lncRNA
CCUUUGUGUCUGCGUUUCCUCACUUCGAUGAUUACAUUUGCUCUUUGGGAUUGCAAAAGGCCUAGGAGGGCACAGUUUUUCUACAAACAAGGCACAUGCAGAGGAUAUGGAGGGAUCUGUCCCAGGAAGGCCUCAUGGGGUCUUGCUUGCUUACAAUGCCCCAUGUUUUGAUACUCCUCAAUCUUAAGAGAGAACAGAAAAAUGAGACUGCAUGUAGAACAGUUGCAGUCUGAGACAGCCAGAAGCAGGGAGAGGAGAAUGGAGCUCAGCUAGCUGAAAAGCAUACACCCCAAGUUCUGCUCAGCUCUACCCCAUGGAAAUGUGGGCCAGCAUUUAUUGUUCCUGAGGGCUUCCUUGAUGGCUCGGUGGUAAAGAACCUGCCUACCAGUACAGGAGACACAGGUUCAAUCCUUGACCUGGGAAGACUCUACAUGCCAUGGAACAACUAAGCCCAUGAGCCAAACAUUGAAGCCAUACUCUGGAGCCUGGGAGCCUCAACUACUGAGCGGUGUACCGCAAGUACUGAAGCCCAUACGCCCUAGAGCGCGUGCUCUGCAAUAAGAGAAGCUACCUCAGUGAGAAGCCCAUGCACCACUAGAGAAAAUCCCAGGCAGCAAUAAAGACCCAGCAUGGCCAAAGAGAAAAAUAAAUAAAU